rnacentral:rRNA from 1 species
CCUACGGGUGGCAGCAGUGAGGAAUAUUGGUCAAUGGGCGAAAGCCUGAACCAGCCAAGUCGCGUGAGGGAUGAAGGUGCUAUGGAUUGUAAACCUCUUUUAUAAGGGAAUAAAGUGUAGUACGUGUGCGAUUUUGUAUGGACGUUAUGAAUAAGGAGCGGCUAACUCCGUGCCAGCAGCCGCGGUAAGACGGACGAUCCGCGAGUUAUCCGGAUUUAUUGGGUUUACAGGGAGCGUAGCUUGGUUGUUAAGUCAGUUGUGAAAGGUUGCGGCUCCACCGUAAAAUUUCCAUUGAUACUGGCAGUCUUGAGUACAGUUGAGGUAGGCUGACUUCGUGGUGUAGCGG